UAGCUUACCAUUAGUAAUUGUGUCUGGUUUUGAAUCAAAAGGGUUUUUAAGGUGUAUUAUAAAUAAGAGAUUAGAAAAAAAAUUGUAUAUUUUCGCCAUUUAAAGCUGUUAGGUCCCCCAUACCCCCAGCUAAGUUUUUGUAGGCAAAUUUGUUUGGAACACUGAUAGGCUUAGGUGUCUAAACCUAAUGCCUGGAGCAUAAAUCUGCUGCUUUGGAUUUGUAUCUGAUUAAAAUGUGCAUUACCUGGGGAGGAAGUCCAAACAAAACUUAUGUUUACCUACCUUUUGUGGGUCAUGAAACAAUUUAACUGUCAUACAUUUUUCUAAUAGCUCUUCAAGUCUGCAGAAAAAAAUGGCCUCCAAUAAAACUACAUUGCAAAAAAUGGGAAAGAAACAAAAUGGAAAAAGUAAAAAAGUUGAGGAAGCAGAACCUGAAGAGUUUGUGGUAGAGAAAGUACUGGACCGACGUGUAGUGAAUGGGAAGGUGGAGUAUUUUCUGAAGUGGAAGGGAUUUACAGAUGCUGACAAUACAUGGGAACCUGAAGAAAAUUUAGA